rnacentral:rRNA from 1 species
GACGAACGCUGGCGGCGUGCUUAACACAUGCAAGUCGAGCGGAAGGAGAGGAAAUUUAGCGAUAAAUGGAAUCUUCUUUAGCGGCGGACGGGUGAGUAACGCGUGGGCAACCUGCCCUAUACAGGGGGAUAACACAGUGAAAACUGUGCUAAUACCGCAUAAGGCCACGGUGUGGCAUCACACAGGGGUCAAAGGAGAAAUCCGGUAUAGGAGGGGCCCGCGUCCGAUUAGAUAGUUGGUGAGGUAACGGCUCACCAAGUCGACGUUCGGUAGCCGGACUGAGAGGUUGGCCGGCCACAUUGGGACUGAGACACGGCCCAGACUCCUACGGGAGGCAGCAGUGGGGAAUAUUGCGCAAUGGGGGAAACCCUGACGCAGCGACGCCGCGUGAAGGAAGAAGGCCUUCGGGUUGUAAACUUUUUUGAUCAGGGACGAGGAAGGACGGUACCUGAAGAACAAGCCACGGCUAACUACGUG